rnacentral:rRNA from 1 species
GAUUAGAUAUCCCCUGACGUCAAGUCAGCUAAAGACCCCUUGGAGACUACAAGGUUGAUAGGCCGGGUGUGUAAGUGCAGUAAUGCAUGGAGCUUACCGGUACUAAUCGGUCGUGAGGCUUAGCCACAA